UGAAGCCGGAAUUGCUAGUAAUGGCAGGUCAGCAUACUGCCGUGAAUACGUUCCCGGGCCUUGUACACACCGCCCGUCACACCAUGAGAGUUGGGAAUACCCGAAGCCUGUGAGCUAACGUAAGAGGCAGCAGUCGAAGGUAGAAUCAAUGAUUGGGGUGAAGUCGUAACAAGGUAUC
rnacentral:rRNA from 1 species